ACGUAAGGGGCAAGCGUUAUCCGGAUUUACUGGGUGUAAAGGGAGCGAAGAUGGUUAUGCAAGUCUGGAGUGAAACCCCACAGCUCAACUGUGGGCUUGCUUUGGAAACUGUGUAACUAGAGUACUGGAGAGGUAAGCGGAAUUCCUAGUGUAGCGGUGAAAUGCUUAUAUAUUUGGGGGAACACCGGUGGCGAAGGCGUCUUACCAGGAAGCAACCGACAGUGAGGCACGAAAGCGUGGGGAGCAAACCG
rnacentral:rRNA from 1 species